GAAUGUAUGAGAAUACUACUUGGAUAACCGUAGUAAUUCUAGAGCUAAUACAUGCAACGACGCCCGACCGUUUCACUACGGAAGGGCUGUAUUUAUUGGAUACCAAAACCAUCCUUCCCUCGGGAAGUUUUGUUUGAUGAUUCACAAUAACUGAUCGGAUCGCCACUGUGGUGGCGACAGGUCAUUCAACAUUCUGCCCUGUCAGCUUUCGAUGGUUGUGUAGUGGACAACCAUGGCCAUAACGGGUAACGGAGAAUCAGGGUUCGAUUCCGGAGAAGGAGCUUGAGAAUUGGCUACUACAUCUAAGGAAGGCGGCAGGCGCGCAAAUUACCCAAUCCCGAUUCGGGGAGGUAGUGACAAAAAAUAACAAUACCGGGCCUUUUUGGGCUUGGUAAUUGGAAUGAGGGAGAGUUAAACGGACCAUCGAGUAUCCAUUGGAGGGCAAGUCUGGUGCCAGCAGCUGCGGUAAUACCAGCUCCAAUAGCGUAUAUUAAAGUUGUUGCAGUUAAAAAGCUCGUAGUUGGACUUGUGUGCGCUGUCCGCGGGUGGCCUGCGCCCAAAAGGGCGUUUCGGUUCGGCCCCGGUGGCGCCUUGAAAUCUGCAGCUGGGGGGACGUUGGCCUUAACUGGUCGGCGACCGCACGCCGGCUGCUCGGUUACUGUGAGAAAAUUAGAGUGUUCAAGGCAGGCAUUGGGUGCAAUUGAAUACAUUAGCAUGGAAUAAUAAAAUAUGGCUCCUGCCGUAUUUUGUUGGUUUUGACUGGUGGGAGUAAUGAUUGAUAGGGACGGUUGGGGGUGCUAGUAUUGAGCGGCCAGAGGUGAAAUUCAUGGAUUCGCUCAAGACUAACUUAUGCGAAAGCAUUCACCAAGGACGUCCUCUUUAAUCAAGAACGAAAGUUGGGGGAUCGAAGACGAUCAGAUACCGUCGUAGUCUCAACCAUAAACUAUGUCGACUUGGGAUCGGCGGUAGUUUUUUCAUUAAGACACUGUCGGGACCAUGGGAGAAAUCAAAGUGUCUGGACUCUGGGGGAAGUAUGGUCGCAAGGCUGAAACUUGAAGGAAUUGACGGAAGGGCACCACCAGGAGUGGAGCCUGCGGCUUAAUUUGACCCAACACGGGGAAACUUACCAGGUCCAGAGAUGUAGAGGAUUGACAGAUUGAAGCUCUUUCUUGAUCACUUCGGUGGUGGUGCAUGGCCGUUCUUAGUUGGUGGAGUGAUUUGUCUGGUUAAUUCCGUUAACGAACGAGACCUCAGCCUGCUAGUGUAGUCGGCUGGA
rnacentral:rRNA from 1 species